GAUGAACGCUGGCGGCGUGCCUAAUACAUGCAAGUCGAGCGAACGGACGAGAAGCUUGCUUCUCUGAUGUUAGCGGCGGACGGGUGAGUAACACGUGUAUAACCUACCUAUAAGACUGGUAUAACUUCGGGAAACCGUAGCUAAUACCGGAUAAUAUUUUGAUCCGCAUGGUUCAAAAGUGAAAGACGGUCUUGCUGUCACUUCUCGCUGCAUCCGCGCUGCAUUAGCUAGUUGUUAAGGUAACGGCUUACCAAGGCAACGAUGCAUAGCCGACCUGAGAGGGUGGUCGGCCACCCUGGAAGGGGGACACGGUCCAGACGCCUAAGGGAGGCAGCAGAAGGGAAUCGUCCGCAAUGGGGGAAAGCCUGACGGAGCAAGGCCGCGUGAGUGAUGAAGGUGUUCGGAGCGGAAAACUCUGUUAUGAGGGAAGAACAGAUGUGGAAGUAAAUGUGGAGAGAGUGACGGUAACGAAUAAGAAAGCAACGGCUAACUACGUG
rnacentral:rRNA from 1 species